rnacentral:rRNA from 1 species
AUUGAACGCUGGCGGCAUGCCUUACACAUGCAAGUCGAACGGUAACAGGUCUUCGGAUGCUGACGAGUGGUGAACGGGUAAGUAAUACAUCGGAACGUGCCUAGUAGUGGGGGAUAACUACUCGAAAGAGUGGCUAAUACCGCAUGAGAUCUACGGAUGAAAGCAGGGGAUCGCAAGACCUUGUGCUACUAGAGCGGCCGAUGGCAGAUUAGGUAGUUGGUGGGAUAAAAGCUUACCAAGCCGACGAUCUGUAGCUGGUCUGAGAGGACGAUCAGCCACUCUGGGACUGAGACACGGCCCAGACUCCUACGGGAGGCAGCAGUGGGGAAUUUUGGACAAUGGGCGAAAGCCUGAUCCAGCAAUGCCGCGUGCAGGAUGAAGGCCUUCGGGUUGUAAACUGCUUUUGUACGGAACGAAAAGCCCCGGGUUAAUACCCUGGGGUCAUGACGGUACCGUAAGAAUAAGCACCGGCUAACUACGUGCCAGCCGCCGCCGUAA